rfam:Paenibacillus swuensis strain DY6, complete genome.
AACAGUUGAAUAUGCUAACCGUAGACAGUAGGUGCUUUAAAGCUUAAUUUCCUACCGAGGUGUUGUGAUAUAUUAGGUCGUUUUCUUCGUGAAAAUUUAACCGAACUUCAUGCCUUCGUAGAUGUCUACGGAGGCUUUUUCUAUGAAGUU